AACGAACGCUGGCGGCAUGCCUAACACAUGCAAGUCGAACGAGAUCUUCGGGUCUAGUGGCGCACGGGUGCGUAACGCGUGGGAAUCUGCCCUUUGGUUCGGAAUAACAGUUGGAAACGACUGCUGAUACCGGAUGAUGACGAAAGUCCAAAGAUUUAUCGCCAGAGGAUGAGCCCGCGUAGGAUUAGCUAGUUGGUGUGGUAAAGGCGCACCAAGGCGACGAUCCUUAGCUGGUCUGAGAGGGCGAUCAGCCACACUGGGACUGAGACACGGCCCAGACUCCUACGGGAGGCAGCAGUGGGGAAUGUUGGACAAUGGGCGAAAGCCUGAUCCAGCAAUGCCGCGUGAGUGAUGAGGGCCUUAGGGUUGUAAAGCUCUUUUACCCGGGAUGAUAAUGACAGUACCGGGAGAAUAAGCUCCGGCUAACUCCGUGCCAGCAGCCGCGGUAA
rnacentral:rRNA from 1 species